UACAGAGGGUGCGAGCGUUAAUCGGAAUUACUGGGCGUAAAGCGUGCGUAGAUGGUUAUGUAAGUCGGAUGUGAAAGCCCCGGGCUCAACCUGGGAAUUGCAUUCGAGACUGCAUAGCUAGGAUGCGGAAGAGGGAAGCGGAAUUUCCGGUGUAGCGGUGAAAUGCGUAGAUAUCGGAAGGAACAUCAGUGGCGAAAGCGGCUUCCUGGUCCAGCAUCGACGUUCAGGCACGAAAGCGUGGGGAGCAAACAGG
rnacentral:rRNA from 1 species